rnacentral:rRNA from 1 species
AUCCGGAUUUAUUGGGCGUAAAGCGAGCGCAGACGGUUUAUUAAGUCUGAUGUGAAAUCCCGAGGCCCAACCUCGGAACUGCAUUGGAAACUGAUUUACUUGAGUGCGAUAGAGGCAAGUGGAACUCCAUGUGUAGCGGUGAAAUGCGUAGAUAUGUGGAAGAACACCAGUGGCGAAAGCGGCUUGCUAGAUCGUAACUGACGUUGAGGCUCGAAAGUAUGGGUAGCAAACGGGAUUAGAUACCCCGGUAGUCCAUACCGUAAACGAUGGGUGCUAGUUGUUAAGAGGUUUCCGCCUCCUAGUGACGUAGCAAACGCAUUAAGCACCCCGCCUGAGGAGUACGGCCGCAAGGCUAAAACUUAAAGGAAUUGACGGGGACCCGCACAAGCGGUGGAGCAUGUGGUUUAAUUCGAAGAUACGCGAAAAACCUUACCAGGUCUUGACAUACCAAUGAUCGCUUUUGUAAUGAAAGCUUUUCUUCGGAACAUUGGAUACAGGUGGUGCAUGGUCGUCGUCAGCUCGUGUCGUGAGAUGUUGGGUUA